UAGUAUUAAAGGUAACGCCUGCCCAGUGAAGUUUUUAAACGGCCGCGGUAUCCUAACCGUGCAAAGGUAGCGUAAUCACUUGUCCUCUAAAUAAGGACCAGUAUGAACGGCUAAAUGAGGGCUAAUCUGUCUCCUUUAAUUUAUCAAUGAAACUGAUCUACCAGUACAAAAGCUGGUAUAACAUUAUAAGACGAGAAGACCCUGUGGAGCUUAAAAUUAUAAUUAUUUUAGCCCACAAACACCUGACUCUAAUUCAAUAAUUUUUAGUUGGGGCGACUUCGGAACCAAACAAAACUUCCGAGCAAAAACCUAAACCUUCACAAAGACCUACAAGUCAUCUUUUGACCCAGUAACACUGAUCAACGAACCAAGUUACCCCAGGGAUAACAGCGCAAUCUUCUUCAAGAGUCCCUAUCGACAAGAAGGUUUACGACCUCGAUGUUGGAUCAGGACACCCCAUUAGUGCAACCGCUAUUAAAGGUUCGUUUGUUCAACGAUUAAUAGUCCUACGUGAUCUGAGUUCAGACCGGAGA
rnacentral:rRNA from 1 species